ACUUAAAUAGCUUAUGUUUAGAGCGUGGUUUUGAAGCAGCUAGGGAGAUGUUUAUCUUUAAGUA
rnacentral:tRNA from 1 species